rnacentral:lncRNA from 1 species
UGGUUUUAAGUACCUUCAUAUUCUUGUGCAACCAUCAUGACCGUCCAUCUUCAGAAUUCUUUUCACCUUGAAAAACGGAAACUGUACCCACUACAGAAGAAUUCCCCACCUUCCCCUUCCAGUCCCUGGCAUACACCUGUCUGCUUUCUCCUACUCGAGGCACUCGAUAAAAGUAGAGGCACACAACCUUUGCCUUUUGCAGCUGGCUUCCUUCACUUAACAUAAUGUCAUUAGGUUUUUCCAUGCUAGAGCAUGGGUCAGAAUUUCCUUCCUCUAGAGCCGGGAUACCUCCCCCGUUGUGUGAAUGUACCACAUCUCAUUUAUCCUUUCAUUUGUCAUGUCUACUGAUGGACACUUGAGGCAAGCACUUCCAUAUGGCUUGCUUACCAAGACUAGAGUAGAUCUUGGCCCUACUAUGUGCUCAACAAAUAAUGGUUGAAUGAGUUUUAAUUUUUGUGAACAUAAACGGACAGUGGGCUCCCCAGAUGGGCUGUCCAACAGGUGUUCCAGGCUGACUCAGGACCACAGGUGAGGUGAGGGAUGAAGGCAGCGAUGAGAAGGUACUCCCAGGGUACGGGGGCUGGGAGAUGGGAGCCCAGGCCCGGGCGCAGCACAGGUGGGAGCAGAGCCAUGAAAGAGCAGGAAAGGGGUCUCGGGAAAGUGCCAAGUGCCAUGGACUUAAAAACGGGAGAGGGCUUUUUACGAGGGGUGCCACCCAAGUCAGGAAGGAUAGGGUCUGAGGAAGGAACACGAAUUGGCAAGUACUGAUGGAGACAAGGCAAACUCAGCUCUGUCUGACGUCAUUGUUGACCUUGGAAAAAGGUUUCUAUAGCGCGGUGAGCUAUUUUUCUUUCUUUCUUUCUUUCUUUUUUUUUUUUCUUUUUGUCCUUUUAGGGCCACACCUGAGGCACAUGGAGGUUCCUAGGUCGGGGGUUGAAUCAGAGCUGCAGCCGCUGGCCUAUGCCACAGCCACACCAGAUCCAAGCCAUGUCUGCGACCUACACCACAGCUCAUGGCAACACUGGAUCCUUAACCCACUGAGCAAGGCCGUGGAUCGAACCUGCGUCCUCAUGGAUACUAGUCAGAUUCGUUUCUGCUGUGCCACAGUGAGGACUCCAGCCAGAGCUGUUCAGUGCCAGGCUCUGGGUGAGGCACUAGGACUUGCAGCAGGUGCAGCAGCAGCAGCAACAGAGAAGGAUGCAUGAAGCACAGACUCCGUGGACGUCUUAAACUUGAGCGGGGCCUUGAAAUACGGUUGGGGUCUGAAUAUGGAACAGUGCAGAGAAGAGGGACGGGCACCCCACAUGGAUGAGCAGUGAGAAAAAGAGCUUGGUGGAAAGAGUGGGGGCGCGCCUGGGGACGGCAAGGAAGCCGGGUCCAGGAGGCAGAGGAUGUGCGGGGAAGGCGGAAGAUGUGGUUGACUGAGAGGUGGCCAUGGGAAGCUCGAGUGAACCACAUCGAAGCCCUCCGUCUAGCGUCGCUUUGCAGUCGUGUGUGUGUGAUUACUGUCCACCCAUCCAUAGGGCCACCCCGCUACCCUGUGAGCACAGGGGCAUAUGUUUUAUCAUGGACACUGGUAUGUGUAAAGACUUGCGUGUGCCAGACACACCUGGCUCAAAUGGGAGUGCAGCUCUUCCUCAGUUUUGUGUAAUUGCUGGUCACUGAGCUCCAGCGGAGAGCCAUGCCUGGCACUCUGAGACUGACACGCUACCUGCUGUGCUAACAAGGCACCUCAAUGCCUGGCACUAGAUGCUGGAGCGUGAGGACAAACAGGUUGAGAUCUAAAAAGUAAGACUUGGACUGGGGCUGUCCUUAGACUCACCUGAGUCCUUCAGACCUUCCUUCCUGCAGAACCUGGGGAGAUGUUGGGCUGAAGACUGAGGAUGCAGACACCGCGUCUGCCAUCUUCGUCCCAGCAGCUUCCACGCCAAUGCUGAGCUGCCACUGUUCUGCCUUGGGGCCAGACGAAAGGCCGUGUUCUCAUCCAGCGCCCCCUCUGAAAAAGCAGUUUGGUACCUUCUUAUAUACACCCACAAGGCUGGCCCCAGAUUGCAAGAAAUAUUCAGAAGUGGUUUUCAAUGAUAACAUCCAGCUAACUCCUCUAAACCCAGGAGGCCUGGAGGCUGUUUAUCUCAAGGAAGAUGCCUGGAGCCUUCCCCCCGGACAUAAAUGGAGGAUCCCAGAACGUGUGAACAUGCAUCCUCUGACUGGGUACCGGUCAGCUGUCCCCCCGCCCCCACCACCAGGCACAGGAACCAAGGCAGAGGGCGGGAGGCAGGAGAGGCCAAAGUCCUUACCUGCUUCUGAGCCCAGGUUUUCCUGGCAGAGCUGGGAAGCGGGAAGUAUCUCCCUACCUGCCUCUAGCCCUGAGAUGCUGAGAAGGAAGCCAGGACCCCGAGGGAGGCUUUGGAUCUCUGCAGGACUGUGCCUGUGCCAUCUCUGGCACCAGUCUUUACUGAGCCCCCAGCAGGUUACCGUAGCAUCCAGUCUGGUCUGGCCUGGCACCUAAGAGAUUGGGUUUUAAAACGAGGGCCUAUCUACAAAAAAUAAAGUAAUAGUGACAGCUAAAUUUAUCAAGUAUUUACUCUGUUCCAGGUGUGGUGCUAAGUGUUUGCUUUGCAUUCGCUCAUUUAAGCCUCCCCGUGACUCUGGAAUAAUUGUGGGAUUGUUUGACAGCUGAGGAAACUGAGUCACAGAGAGACAUGGUCUCUUUCUGAAAUCACUCGGCCAGUAACAGGUGGAAGUGGACAUUGAACCCGUCUGCCUCCAGAGCUUGUACGCCUCAGGGAAGUCGGCCCCGGGGGGUGUGUAGGAGCCACCAGAGGUCAGAGCAGAGAGGUCAGCUGCUGACCAGCCGGACUCUGAGAUCCGGUUUCUCGCUGUUGGAGCCGGCUGCCCCCACUGCUUCAGGGAGGGGACUGCUGCCCUGCUGUAUGAGCCACCUUUGCCAGGAGGAUUAGCUUCUUCCUCGUGUCAAAACAAGCCAAGCAGGAAAAAAAUCAACAACCAACUCCCGACUUCCAGCAGCAAGAGCCCUGCAUCCUGUCCAGCAGGAGGGAGCUCUCCGCUGCGGAGGGGGUCGACUGUCCUAGACCACGUCCUGGUUGUGGGCGUGUGCCGAGAGGGACCCCGAGACCCCCGGGUUUCCAGGUCGGGGCCCCGAGGCCCUGCCAGUGCACAGUCCCUGGCAGCAGCCCUUCUCCUCUGCUCCCCAUCCAGCCCUGUGACGUCUGCUGAUAUCCCGUCCUGCCACGGGCUUGCUCUGCGUCCACGGCGAGCCCAGUGACCGUUUGCAGGGUAAGGACAUUGGAUGUGAGCAGUGGUUUUCAAAACAAAAUGUUUCUUUGUUGCAAAGGAACAUGUUCUUCAGAUGAAACAACUUCUGCUAGAAUAGCAAACAGUCUAAAGCAGAGGUGUCAGUUUUCGUAAAAAUAAACAAGGGCCAAAAACCUUGGGUCAGUCAAAAUUCUCUGCAAAUGGUUCCCUGAGCCUGACUGGAUCUCCUUUUGCCACUCCUGCCCCCUUUGGUGGCCUUUGCACCUUCUGGCUUGAUUGGAAGUUGUGGAUUCUUCGGAGCCCCCUCAGCUUCCUCCAUGGAGCCUCAGUGCGUCGUGGUUCCAGCUGCAUUUAUUAACCAUUUUAAUCGUUGGGCUCCCCCGAACUGCCUGGUGGUAGCUUCAGAGAAUGUGUGUGUAUAUUUGCAUACUACACAUGGUAUUUGCAUAGAUGAUGUAUGCAGACAGCAUAUAUUUGCAUAUGCAUUUAUGUAUAUGUGUGUAUCCGUGGGAACAUAUGUGCGUAUGCAUGUGCGUGUCACAUACGGAGAGAGCCUUUGGAGAGAGGCCAUGUCUUUGUGUCCCUCAGCACCUGGUCAGCAGUAGGCCCGCAGGAGCGUUUCGAUCGCGGGGGUCUUCUGCGUCCUCAGAACAUCUUCUUGCCCAUGUCAGGUGCUCAGUAAAUACUAGCGUCGAAUGAUUGGGUGACUUGGCAGGUCAUACCUGGAAAGUCUUGGCUAUCAAUCUUGGGUCUUGCCAUGUACUUGCUGUAAAAUCGGGGUAAAUAUUCAUCACUUGUCUUAACCAUCGGGUGGGGAUGACAGCGCAUGCCUGCCGCAACUGCUGAUGGAAUGCCUGCCACAGUCCAGGCACGCCUCUCAGCAGUUUACAAAGCAGACAGAGGUCCUUGUCCUCAUGGAGCUCACAUUUCAGCCAGAUUCGAGAAGAGCCCCUCUCCCGCCCCCGACCCCGAGUUGCUGGGAGAAGAGGAGGAGGAAAGGGUCCCUCCUGCUUGGUCAGAGGCAGAGCCACAACCUGGGUUGGGACUGCCACAGGAUGGAGGGGCGCUGGUGGCCUGUGUGGGACACAGGACUCUCAGCGCGGAGUUUACGCCAUGAGAGAAGAGGAGGAGGAAAUGCCAUCGGGGCUGAGCUGGAAGGGUAGCAAGUCUCUCUGCCUCCCCAGGCACCUGCUCUGACUGACCCUGAGGCUGUGCCCCCCGCCCCCAGUCAGCACCACGUGGAGCUGCCCUCGUCUGAGGGCUGCAGCCCCAGAGCCCUGCUGCCUCCAUGCCUCUCUUUUCUAGUGGCAUCUCUUUUACCCAUUUCCAGGGCAUCGCUCUGGGAAAUAGAGAGAGGAGGCUUUGGCCCUGGUCACCUCUGGCUGCCCUGCUGGCCCUCGGAGCCGCAUGUUCAUGGAGGUUUGUCCCUCACCGAGGAUGAUUUCGAGUGAGUUUUACUUGAUCUUGGCUCUGCUUUAGUGCCCUCGUCUAUAAGGUGGGACUGGUAAUAAUUGCACUUACCUCAUGGAGUUAUUGAAAGGAUUAAAUGAGCCUGUAAAGUGCUUAAAAUAGUAUCUGGCUCAGAGUAAGUGCUCUGUCUGUUCAUGCUGGAUGGCUGGAUGCAUUUGUGUAGUGGCGGUGGGCCUGUCUGCUUGGCCCUGUGACCACGAGCUCGCCGUGGGCAGGACACAUCCCACGUGUCCCUAUAGUCUCAGCACCUAGCCCGGUGCCUGGCACACGGUAGGCAUGCCGCAAAUACACGUUAUGAGAACAGUGACCACUCUGGGAACUUUCACAUGCCACAGGUGUGGC